AAUAGAUACCCCGGUAGUCCACGCCGUAAACGAUGAGUGCUAAGUGUUAGAGGGUUUCCGCCCUUUAGUGCUGCAGCUAACGCAUUAAGCACUCCGCCUGGGGAGUACGGCCGCAAGGCUGAAACUCAAAGGAAUUGACGGGGGGCCCGCACAAGCGGUGGAGCAUGUGGUUUAAUUCGAAGCAACGCGAAGAACCUUACCAGGUCUUGACAUCCUCUGCCAACCCUAGAGAUAGGGCGUUCCCCUUCGGGGGACAGAGUGACAGGUGGUGCAUGGUUGUCGUCAGCUCGUGUCGUGAGAUGUUGGGUUAAGUCCCGCAACGAGCGCAACCCUUGAUCUUAGUUGCCAGCAUUUAGUUGGGCACUCUAAGGUGACUGCCGGUGACAAACCGGAGGAAGGUGGGGAUGACGUCAAAUCAUCAUGCCCCUUAUGACCUGGGCUACACACGUGCUACAAUGGAUGGUACAAAGAGCUGCGAACCCGCGAGGGUAAGCGAAUCUCAUAAAGCCAUUCUCAGUUCGGAUUGUAGGCUG
rnacentral:rRNA from 1 species